GUAAGACUAUAUAUAACAAACACUCGUGUUUAUUUUUUUUGAAAAUUGACAGUAUAAUAAAAGCUUAGUGCAUCGACCCGAUCUUUUCGACUCCCAAAUUAGUUAAGUCCACGCGCUACACGUCUUGGUAAACUUCUUCGCCCCUUCUCUCUCCCUUCCCACUCUCUUCUUCUCCAUCUCACCUAUAACUUCUCCAGUUUUACAUAUAUAUAUAUACCUAUAACUUCACCAAAAUCAUCUAAUUCUCUCUGAAAUUCAGUUUUCUCAUCUGGGUCUGUCUUGUUUUUGAUCAUUCUUGAGUUUUUCUCUUGUGGGUAUUCCUUGAUUUUGCUCAAAACCGUCAAAUUUUGAAUCUUUUUGUUGUGGGUCUGUGUCGUUUUGCUCAAAGUUUGAAUCUUUCUAUUGUGGGUGUCUCUUGAAACCCUUGAAAAAUGGUGCGGUGUAGUAACAAUUUAGUGGGGAUUCUGAAUAUAGUGACACUUUUGCUGUCGAUCCCAAUUAUAGGAGGAGGGAUAUGGUUGUCAAAACAAGCAAAUACAGAGUGUGAGAGGUUUCUUGAAAAGCCAGUAAUAGCAAUAGGUGUUUUUAUAUUGCUUGUUUCAUUGGCUGGUAUAAUUGGAUCUUGCUGUAGAGUUACUUGGUUACUUUGGGUUUAUCUACUUGUUAUGUUUUUGUUGAUUUUGUUGCUUUUCUGUUUCACAAUCUUUGCUUUUGUGGUGACUAAUAAGGGUGCUGGUGAAACAAUUUCUGGUAGAGGGUAUAAGGAGUAUAGAUUUGGGGAUUACUCUAAUUGGUUGCAGAAAAGAGUUGAUAAGCAUUGGAAUAGAAUUCAUAGUUGUUUGCAGGAUAGUAAGAUUUGUGAUACUUUGAUUCAGGAAUCAAAUACUAAAGCUGAUGAUUUCUUCAAGAAACAUCUAUCUGCUCUUCAGUCUGGUUGCUGCAAGCCAUCAAAUGACUGUAACUUCCAGUACGUGAGCCCAACAAACUGGACAAGAUCAUCGACCUCAUCCACUACCAAUCCAGACUGUGCUACAUGGAGCAACGAGUCAAAUUUAUUGUGCUAUGGCUGCCAAUCCUGCAAAGCUGGGCUGCUAGACAACAUCAAAAGUGACUGGAAGAGGGUAGCUGUGCUCAACAUCAUUUUCCUCAUCUUCCUCAUCAUCGUCUACUCUAUCGGAUGUUGUGCUUUCAGGAACAACCGAGAGGACAAUGCUUGGAAGCGUUAUCCUUAAACACUCUCUGUUGAGUCUCGACUGCUUUAUGUUGCGUAUCGUAUUAGACUAUAGAUCACUUAGUAUGAGUUUAUGCUCUUUCUUGUACAGAGUGUAUUUCUUCUGCUAGACAAUUUACUUGUGGCUUUUGGAUAUAUGUGAAUUCCUAUUAUUGAAUUCUUUGUUUAGAAUUGUCUUCUUGAUUAGAUGGAGUCUUUCAUCUACAUUUUUUUCUGUUGAACAAAUUUGUGUUAGAUUUGUAUGGUGGAGAAUUUUGCAUUUCUUGAUAUUUUGUGGGAUACACUCGUGUUUGGUAUCUGUAUUGAGGUUUGAUUAAGUUUAGAAAAAUUCAUAUCUGAG
rnacentral:misc_RNA from 1 species